GACAGUCUGUGCAGACAUCUCGGGAAGUCCCCACCUUCCUCUUGGUCCUCUGACUCUGCCCACCUCCUUCCUUUUGUCCCCUGCUGCCAAUGUCAUCCUCUCCAAUUCCGCUCCCUCUCCUCCCCAGCCCUCACCUUGGAGCCUCCCGUGAGGGGCCUUGCUUGCUCUUGAUUUUGUGACUGUGAUCAUCUCUGCCCCAUGUACACGUUUUAUUUCCCAUGUGAGACUGCUCAGAUACUUUUCUGUCUUCUCCUUGCAUCCUCUGAAAGCACUGGACACAGUGCCAGACACACUGGAGAAUGGGGGCGACAUGCUCUACCUGAAAGAUCUUAACACCCAGGCUGUGAGAUUUGGGCUGCUCUUUAACCAGGAGAAUACAACUUAUUCGAAAACGAUUGCUCUAUAUGGAUUCUUCUUUAAGAUAAAGGGACUCAAACAUGAUACUACCUCUUAUAGUUUUUACAUGCAGAGAAUAAAGCACACAGACCUGGAAUCCCCCUCCGCGGUCUACGAGCACAACCCCAUCAGCCUGCGAGCGGCACGCCUGGUGAAGUAUGAGAUCAGAGCAGAGGCCCUGGUUGACGGCAAGUGGCAGGAG
rnacentral:sRNA from 1 species